UACAGAGGGUGCGAGCGUUGUUCGGAAUCACUGGGCUUAAAGGGCGCGUAGGCGGGCGGUUAAGUCUGCGGUGAAAUCCUCCAGCUCAACUGGAGAACUGCCGUGGAUACUGGCUGUCUCGAGGAAGGUAGGGGCGUGUGGAACUAUCGGUGGAGCGGUGAAAUGCGUUGAUAUCGAUAGGAACUCCGGUGGCGAAGGCGACACGCUGGACCUUUUCUGACGCUGAGGCGCGAAAGCCAGGGGAGCAACGGG
rnacentral:rRNA from 1 species